AGAGUUUGAUCCUGGCUCAGGACGAACGCUGGCGGCGUGCCUAAUACAUGCAAGUCGAACGCUUCUUUUUCCACCGGAGCUUGCUCCACCGGAAAAAGAGGAGUGGCGAACGGGUGAGUAACACGUGGGUAACCUGCCCAUCAGAAGGGGAUAACACUUGGAAACAGGUGCUAAUACCGUAUAACAAUCAAAACCGCAUGGUUUUGAUUUGAAAGGCGCUUUCGGGUGUCGCUGAUGGAUGGACCCGCGGUGCAUUAGCUAGUUGGUGAGGUAACGGCUCACCAAGGCCACGAUGCAUAGCCGACCUGAGAGGGUGAUCGGCCACAUUGGGACUGAGACACGGCCCAAACUCCUACGGGAGGCAGCAGUAGGGAAUCUUCGGCAAUGGACGAAAGUCUGACCGAGCAACGCCGCGUGAGUGAAGAAGGUUUUCGGAUCGUAAAACUCUGUUGUUAGAGAAGAACAAGGAUGAGAGUAACUGUUCAUCCCUUGACGGUAUCUAACCAGAAAGCCACGGCUAACUACGUGCCAGCAGCCGCGGUAAUACGUAGGUGGCAAGCGUUGUCCGGAUUUAUUGGGCGUAAAGCGAGCGCAGGCGGUUUCUUAAGUCUGAUGUGAAAGCCCCCGGCUCAACCGGGGAGGGUCAUUGGAAACUGGGAGACUUGAGUGCAGAAGAGGAGAGUGGAAUUCCAUGUGUAGCGGUGAAAUGCGUAGAUAUAUGGAGGAACACCAGUGGCGAAGGCGGCUCUCUGGUCUGUAACUGACGCUGAGGCUCGAAAGCGUGGGGAGCAAACAGGAUUAGAUACCCUGGUAGUCCACGCCGUAAACGAUGAGUGCUAAGUG
rnacentral:rRNA from 1 species